GCUGGCGGCGUGCUUAACACAUGCAAGUCGAGCGGUAAGGCCCUUCGGGGUACACGAGCGGCGAACGGGUGAGUAACACGUGAGCAACCUGCCCCUGACUCCGGGAUAAGCGGUGGAAACGCCGUCUAAUACCGGAUACGACCCGCCAUCUCAUGGUGGUGGGUGGAAAGUUUUCUCGGUUGGGGAUGGGCUCGCGGCCUAUCAGCUUGUUGGUGGGGUAACGGCCUACCAAGGCGAUUACGGGUAGCCGGCCUGAGAGGGCGACCGGCCACACUGGGACUGAGACACGGCCCAGACUCCUGCGGGAGGCAGCAGUGGGGAAUAUUGCGCAAUGGGCGAAAGCCUGACGCAGCGACGCCGCGUGGGGGAUGACGGCCUUCGGGUUGUAAACCUCUUUUACCACCAACGCAGGCUCCCAGUUCUCUGGGGGUUGACGGUAGGUGGGGAAUAAGGACCGGCUAACUACGUGCCAGCAGCCGCGGUAAUACGUAGGGUCCGAGCGUUGUCCGGAAUUAUUGGGCGUAAAGAGCUCGUAGGCGGCGUGUCGCGUCUGCUGUGAAAGACCGGGGCUUAACUCCGGUUCUGCAGUGGAUACGGGCAUGCUAGAGGUAGGUAGGGGAGACUGGAAUUCCUGGUGUAGCGGUGAAAUGCGCAGAUAUCAGGAGGAACACCGGUGGCGAAGGCGGGUCUCUGGGCCUUACCUGACGCUGAGGAGCGAAAGCAUGGGGAGCGAACAGGAUUAGAUACCCU
rnacentral:rRNA from 1 species